UAGAGGAAGUAAAAGUCGUAACAAGGUUUCCGUAGGUGAACCUGCGGAAGGAUCAUUAACUUAUUGAAAUGGGUGCCCCACCUUGCCGCCGCUCGAGGGUUCCGGCUUGGCUGCGCUUGACGCAGUGUUCUGUGGCGUCCCUCCAUUCUUGUCUUCCACGUCCUUGUUGCUUUGGCGGGUGUUCUUGACCGAACCGCCGGGGGCCUGUCCCCUAGUGUAUGCCCGUCAGUAGCUCAUCAAAAUUCUGAUCAACGUGUCUGUCUUAGUCUAGAAGAAUAACUAUAAAACUUUCAACAACGGAUCUCUUGGUUCUGGCAUCGAUGAAGAACGCAGCGAAAUGCGAUAAGUAAUGCGAAUUGCAGAAUUCCGUGAGUCAUCGAAUCUUUGAACGCACAUUGCGCCCUCUGGUAUUCCGGAGGGCAUGCCUGUCCGAGCGUCAUUAGUCCAUCUCAAGCCCGGCUUGUCGUUGGGUCUCACCGCCCCAAGGCGGUGGGCCCGAAAUUUAAUGACGGGGUCCGACGCCCGUGGAUGCAGCGAGCUUUACAGCACGUGUCCCGACGUCGUCGCGGCCUUGUCUUCAACCUCAUUUUCUCUAGGUUGACCUCGGAUCAGACAGGACUACCCGCUGAACUUAAGCAUAUCAUA
rnacentral:rRNA from 1 species